rnacentral:tmRNA from 1 species
GGGGGUGUAAUGGUUUCGACAGGUUAAUGUCUGAUUCAGACUGCAGUGGAGUGAUGACCAUAUCAUCAGUUAAAUUUAAACGCAAACAACACAAACAGAAACUACGGUUUCGCUUUCGCUGCCUAAUUGCACUCGUAAGUGCUGCAGCGCACCGGCUUUUGUCUUAUUCCAUUUGAUGGAAGCUGCGUAUUGAAAAUGGAUAAGGUGACCCUGAUGCCUGUAAGGUGAUCCCGACAAAUCACAGGCACAUUCAGUGACGGUAUGUCUGAUGGACAUGUCACUGUCUUAUCAACCAUCGGACUAAACUGUAGAUGUCUGAAUGUGGGGCUUCUCUUGGACAGGGGUUCAAUUCCCCUCAUCUCCACCA